rnacentral:tRNA from 1 species
CACCGCGUAGCUCAGUUGGAAGAGCAUUGGGCUAGUAUUCCAAAGGUUGUAGGUUCGAAUCCCACCGUGGCCG